AGAAGCUUAGGUUAACCCAAGACCAAGGGCCUUCAAAGCCCUAAGUAAGUGAAACACUUAGCUUCUG
rnacentral:tRNA from 1 species